rnacentral:rRNA from 1 species
UAGGGAAUCUUCGGCAAUGGGGGGAACCCUGACCGAGCAACGCCGCGUGAGUGAAGAAGGUUUUCGGAUCGUAAAGCUCUGUUGUUAAGGAAGAACGAGUGUGAGAAUGGAAAGUUCAUGCUGUGACGGUACUUAACCAGAAAGGGACGGCUAACUACGUGCCAGCAGCCGCGGUAAUACGUAGGUCCCGAGCGUUGUCCGGAUUUAUUGGGCGUAAAGCGAGCGCAGGCGGUUAGAUAAGUCUGAAGUUAAAGGCAGUGGCUCAACCAUUGUAGGCUUUGGAAACUGUUUAACUUGAGUGCAGAAGGGGAGAGUGGAAUUCCAUGUGUAGCGGUGAAAUGCGUAGAUAUAUGGAGGAACACCGGUGGCGAAAGCGGCUCUCUGGUCUGUAACUUACGCUGAGGCUCGAAAGCGUGGGGAGCGAACAGG